rnacentral:lncRNA from 11 species
GUUUGCACAGGCUCUAUCGCCAUCACCAGGGCAAACAUGACAGCUGCGAUCAUAGCAGGGGCUCCUAAAAUGUCGUCCAGCUUAGACUUAAAGGGCCCAGCCUGUUUUCGCCAUGGAGCUGGGUUUUAGUGCAGCACUAGGUGGAAGCAUUCAAAACAUUAAAAUAGUCUAUUCCAUGAGCAGGACAGCUUCCAAGCACUGGAUCACACUACCUCAGCCAUGUACUGGCCAGAAACAGGGAAGCACCCAGGCAGUAUCUGGGUGCAGUUCUGCAACUUGAAGUAGGAGCUAGUAUUCGCUUAAAUCUCCAACAAGGUACUCCACAAGCACCUCCUUCCUUGCUUGUUCCCACCUGCAAUUGUUCAAGGCACUAUGCUCCAGUAUUUGAAGAAUGAAUUCCAG